rnacentral:lncRNA from 1 species
GUCAUCGACCCCAAGAUCGGCGGCGUCAUGAUCAUGGGCGACCGCGGCACCGGCAAGUCCACCACCGUCCGCUCCCUCGUCGACCUGCUCCCGGACAUCAGCGUCGUCGUCGGCGACCCGUUCAACUCCGACCCUUACGACCCGGAGGUCAUGGGGCCCGAGGUCCGCGACCGCGUGCUCAAGGGCGACAGCCUCCCCGUCACCACCGCCAAGAUCACCAUGGUCGACCUGCCCCUCGGCGCCACCGAGGACAGGGUCUGCGGCACCAUCGACAUCGAGAAGGCCCUCACCGAGGGUGUCAAGGCGUUUGAGCCUGGAUUGCUUGCCAAGGCCAAUAGAGGG